ACGAACGCUGGCGGCGUGCUUAACACAUGCCAGUCGCACGGAAAGGCCCUGCUUUUGUGGGGUGCUCGAGUGGCGAACGGGUGAGUAACACGUGAGUAACCUGCCCUUGACUUUGGGAUAACUUCAGGAAACUGGGGCUAAUACCGGAUAGGAGCUCCUGCUGCAUGGUGGGGGUUGGAAAGUUUCGGCGGUUGGGGAUGGACUCGCGGCUUAUCAGCUUGUUGGUGGGGUAGUGGCUUACCAAGGCUUUGACGGGUAGCCGGCCUGGGAGGGUGACCGGCCACAUUGGGACUGAGAUACGGCCCAGACUCCUACGGGAGGCAGCAGUGGGGAAUAUUGCACAAUGGGCGGAAGCCUGAUGCAGCAACGCCGCGUGCGGGAUGACGGCCUUCGGGUUGUAAACCGCUUUCGCCUGUGACGAAGCGUGAGUGACGGUAAUGGGUAAAGAAGCACCGGCUAACUACGUG
rnacentral:rRNA from 1 species